rnacentral:rRNA from 1 species
AUUGAACGCUGGCGGCAUGCCUUACACAUGCAAGUCGAACGGUAACGGGCCUUCGGGUGCCGACGAGUGGCGAACGGGUGAGUAAUACAUCGGAACGUGCCCGACCGUGGGGGAUAACGAGGCGAAAGCUUUGCUAAUACAGCAUACGAUCUACGGAUGAAAGCAGGGGACCGCAAGGCCUUGCGCGGACGGAGCGGCCGAUGGCAGAUUAGGUAGUUGGUGGGAUAAAAGCUUACCAAGCCGACGAUCUGUAGCUGGUCUGAGAGGAUGAUCAGCCACACUGGGACGGAGACACGGCCCAGACUCCUACGGGAGGCAGCAGUGGGGAAUUUUGGACAAUGGGCGCAAGCCUGAUCCAGCCAUGCCGCGUGGAGGAUGAAGGCCUUCGGGUUGUAAACUGCUUUUGUACGGAACGAAAAGCAUUCUUUUAAUACAGGAGGGUCAUGACGGUACCGUAAGAAUAAGCACCGGCUAACUACGUG